UUGAUGCUAACACAGAAUGAAAGAGAAAAUUUUGCGUUAAAAACUUAAAAAAUAAAUGGCAACAGAAUAAAGGUGUACGGUGGAAACGAACUAUAUGGAUCACAUUCCCUGAAUCACAUUCUGAACAUUUUGUUGAAAAGGCUGGAGGAAUGUUCAAAAAAGUCGAUGAAAGAAUCAUUAAAAAAAAUUCCCAUCUAGUUGCAGAAGGAGUGCGUAAAGUACGAAAAAUGGAAACACACAUUAACAUAUAUGUCAUGAAUGAAUUGUUUUGAGACGACAGUGUUCCACCGACAACAAACAGGAGGUUUUAUCCUAAAAGAAGUGAUAUACGUAAUCAUAUGUACUACUGAAAGUGGAAAAAUGGCGCAAAGAAUCUCCCAAAGAUAGCUUCUUUUUUAGAAGGUAUGGUGAAGUUGUCAACAACGAAGAUUGUAUACAGCCAAGUCGUGAUAAGGAUGACAACAAUGAUAUCAAGGUAACUUCAAUUUCCACGAAGCAAAGACUUUUAUUCGUGCAUCAAACUGAUGAUCACAAAAUGCCUUUGAAGAAAUACGGCAACUAUAUAUGUCUGCUUGUACGCAACAUAUAAAAUCACGAGAUAAUCUAUUCCGUUACUUUUUUGGCGAUAAAAACAAACGUCAAAUAUAUGGUUGUAAGAUCAUUUUCUGUUCAGGACGAGACCUUAGUUGUGUCAAAUAAGCCUUUUAUACAAAUCCUUCACACUGGUGCACUGCAUUGGAUUUGUGUAGGGAACACUACAAAUCAUAACAAUUCAUGUAAUGUUUACGUUAGCCUAAGUAGUGGUAAAAUCACACCCAGCGUUGCCUGACAAAUAGCAUUAUUCUGCCACACAGCAGAUCCGGAGAUAAGGGUUGAGAGAUGCUCCGUCCAGCAACAUUUGUUUGUUAUCUGUGAACCACUCAGAAUUUGUUAAAAGUGAUGGAGAGCUAUUUGAAUGUAAAAAACUCAACGAUGAAGUUCUUUGACGAAUUUUGACAAGUAACUCGAAGAAUACACCUUUCCCGAAUUUGUUUUCUUUGAUGUGCCAUAGCACUUUCUCAACUUUUUUAAAGAAAACGAAUGUCAUUUUCGAAAUCCUCACAUGAAAAUUGAUAAAUCGUGAAAUUUUCAUAUUUAUACAUCAAACAAACAAGCUGCUACAACAGGUUUUUUAAUUUUGUACUAAUUAACCUUUGCUCAAAUAUGAGGCUUAGCACAAGUUGAAAAUUAAGAAGGCUUUGACCGUAACAAUGAUGCCAUCAAAACAGCACUUUCCCAUGUCGGAUUAAGUUGAAAAUUUAUACACACACCAAUUUACUGAUGCUGAAUAUGAUGUUAAGGUCAAAACAUCAAAAUUGAUGCAUUUUUUAUUCCUUCUCUUCUACAAAACUCUCUUUAAUUAUUAUACAGAUUAAAUAUAUUUGAGGAAUCUUAAACUUUGAGCACGCUAUUGAAAACACUGGAAGAUAAAAGGAUUUUUCCCAUUUUAUCCCUCAACAAUAAAUAUUUUUGAUUCUUUUUAAAAAAAUAUCAGGAAAAUAUAUCAAAGAAUCAAAAUUAAAAAAAAUUUUUUUAAAAAAAAUUGACUCUGAAGGGGGUUACCGUAUUCUUAAAAGAUUCAACUCCGACUUGACCCCUGGUUAUAGUGCUUACCCAUGCUCAUGCUUCUUCCCGAACUUUGAAAUUCAUAAUGGCUGCAGAAUUAACGUCACAAGGACCAAAGAAUUAUAGGAUGCCUCACGGUGAUAUUCUACUUUGACGUCAA